UACGAGGGGGGCAAGCGUUGUUCGGAAUUAUUGGGCGUAAAGCGUGCGUAGGUGGUUUGUUAAGUCUGCUGUGAAAGCCCCGGGCUCAACCUGGGAAUGGCAGUGGAUACUGGCAAGCUAGAGUGCGGUAGAGGGGUGUGGAAUUCCCGGUGUAGCGGUGAAAUGCGUAGAGAUCGGGAGGAACACCAGUGGCGAAGGCGGCACCCUGGACCAGCACUGACACUGAGGCACGAAAGCGUGGGGAGCAAACAGG
rnacentral:rRNA from 1 species